rnacentral:rRNA from 1 species
UACGUAGGGGGCGAGCGUUAAUCGGAAUUACUGGGCGUAAAGCGUGCGCAGGCGGUUUUGUAAGUCAGAUGUGAAAUCCCCGGGCUCAACCUGGGAACUGCGUUUGAAACUACAAGGCUAGAGUGUAGCAGAGGGGGGUGGAAUUCCACGUGUAGCAGUGAAAUGCGUAGAGAUGUGGAGGAACACCGAUGGCGAAGGCAGCCCCCUGGGAUGAUACUGACGCUCAUGCACGAAAGCGUGGGGAGCAAACAGG